ACCAUGGUUAUUACGGCGGAUACGGGUCAGACUUUGAAUUUGGCGGAUAUGACAAUGAAAAUAUCGGAUAUGGAAACGGAAACGAUUUCGAAGAAAGCUGGGGAAAUGGAUACGGUGAGGGACAUGGUUUGAUCAGCAUUGGAAAAGGAUACGGUAUUGGCGGAGGAUAUGGAAAUGGAUACGGUGAAGGACAUGGUUUGAUCAGUAUUGGAAAAGGAUACGGUAUUGGCGGAGGAUAUGGAAAUGGAUACGGUGAAGGACAUGGUUUGAUCAGUAUUGGAAAAGGAUACGGUAUUGGCGGAGGAUAUGGAAAUGGAUACGGUGAAGGACAUGGUUUGAUCAGUGUUGGAAAAGGACACAGUAUUGGGGGAGGUUACGGUGGUAUCAGUGGAGGAAAAGGAAAAUAUGGUCUCUAUUGAGGAGAAUCAUAGCCAUCCUUGAAUCCAGAACAAUUCAAAAGUGCUACAAAUUACAGAACCAUAAAGACUGUCGUACGGUCAAAAUCGACCUUACUUCAAAUCUGAUUAAAUUAUAAUAAAAUUAUUUAGAGAA